CUCACUCAGACCACAUCCCCAUGGGUAGGAUGCAACACUCUAGUGAUGGACAUGCAGAGUUUUAUAAGUAACGAGGGAGCAGACUAAGGUGAUUAGAACACAAUGGAAUGUCAAGUCUGUAAAUCUUUAAACCAUGAAGAUGGUUAGAUAGUUCAGGAAUUGGGCUUAUUUUUAUUAUGGCAGUCCUUUCACUCAGAUGCUCACUGGAGCUGUACAUGUGUUGGCUGGCAUGAUUUGCUGUUGGUGAUGAGGCGGUCAGGGUGACGUUGAAGGGCUAUGGUUGGCUCUCUGUGAGCUCAACGUUUAGAUUUGCUCUGUAUGGUUUGUACCCUGAAUAAUCUAGAUAAUUGUAAAAUGUAGACACGGUUUUGUAUUGAAUGAUUUUAGGUUUAAAGUUGUUGUGGGACGUACAUGGUAGUUUGGUCCUUCGUAUGGUUUUGAAUGAUAUAACUUGUACACACUGGGUGCAUAAUAAUGUAAAGGUACACUGAAUAGUAGUAAUGUCCAACAGCAACAAACAGAUCUCCUCAAGGUAAGUCUGUUGGCUGUGUUUUAAUGAGGACCAUCGCUGGACUUCAGGAUCUUCCUCCGUUCAGCUCAAGGUGAGGCGCUGGUUCUGUUUUUUCUUUGGUUGGUUCCGGCCGGAAUGUUCGGAUUCCAGUCGGACGGUUUGUGCUUCCCGCCGUGGAAGGUUCUGAGUGCGGUCACUUGAUUUAGUCCCAAUGGUUAGCAUAGAACGUUGUAGUCUUAACAACCAUAAGAAACCACCUGGCAGUUAGUUGGACGGGCAUCUGGCGGAACGUUCUGGGUUGUAUUUGCGUAACCUCGAGCCGUUGCCAACGGAAACAAUUUUUUCAGUCGGUUCCCAUUGGGAAUUGUUGCCCCUAUCUUAAACAACUUAAGUUUUGAUGUUACUAAUACAUACUGACACGUACGUCUUACAAUAUGUUAAUUUCCGAUCGUUGCGCCGUACUUUUAACCACGAUGACGUGACGGGACUCUCGCUGCGUACAAAACAGCGUUCUACUUGCGGGCCCAUUUUUGACAUCAGGAAAGGCUGAAAAUCAUUUCAAGGUGGAAGAUAAUUUGACAUUUCUUCAACGGAACCCAGCACCUGAAUAUGGCUGAGUAUAUUUGAUUUAAUAUCGAUACUGCUUAGUGUUCUUUGUUACUUCAGCUUUUGUACGUUCUAAAUAUCUGCUGUCAUUAAUUGCCACAGAAGUUAAACCCUACCCAAUGGAAUGACGUUAAACAACGACUUUGGUGCAGAGUUACCAACUGGAUAAUAUCAAAGCUAAAAUGAUGGCCGUCAUUCCCACAUGUUACAGUAGAAGAUACUCUAGAACUGUACAAGGUUAAAAAGGUAACAUGUAGUUUGUCCCAAGGUGUCUGCCUCCUCACCCAGAGCAAGACCUCCACCUCCUCACCCAGAGCCAGGACUCCACCUCCUCACCCAGAGCCAGACCUCCACCUCCUGUCAGAAGUCCUCCAAAACAGCUGAAAGGCGAGGCUGAGAGGCUGGGGACCGGAGGCUUGUGGUGCCAGGGUGGACCGGAGACUGAGGCUGGAGACCAGGGGCCUGCAGCACCGGACCAGAGGACCGGGAAUCCAUGGCUGAAGGAGCUGAUGGAGGAGCCGUGCUGAUGGAGGAGCCGUGCUGAUGGAGGAGCCGUGCUGAUGGAGGAGCCGUGCUGAUGGAGGAGCCGUGCUGAUGGAGGAGCCGUGCUGAUGGAGGAGCCGUGCUGAAGGCCCUGCCUUGUGGAGGAGCUGGUGGAGGCCCUGCCUGGUGAAGGACGUCUGUCGUGGGGUUGAUGGAGCUUGACUCUGAAGUGAUCAACGCACUCACUGACACUUCUCGUAGAAUACUGCUAACACAAACUACCGGCGUUUGUACAAUAUAUACCAGACGACUACAUCUGUUUUACCACAUGUUGAAGCAAGCCUUCCGCUGUUUGUUCCAGACCAGGACUCUGUCUGAGGAGAGCUGCUGGAGGAGGUGAGAUGCUGGAGGACGACUAGGAAUCGACCAACAAGGAUUCCUCAACGUGUUUCUGGAGCGGAGGCGAGCUGGUAGGGGAGCCGUGAAUCUGGAGGAUGACCAUCACUCUACCAACAAGGAUUACUUUAGGGCCAGACUCGCGCUGUUUGUUCCAGACCAGGACUCUGGCUGAGGAGAGCUGAUGGAGGAGCCAAGGCUCUGGAGGACGACAUCACUCCACCAACCAGGAUCCUUACACACCUGAGCUGAACCCGCCCUGAUCCUGACAUCAUGCUGGUCCCGUCUCCUCAGUUCAUCUGAGCCUCGUCCUCCAGAAGACCUGCUGAGCUCAGCAGUCUGAGGCUGAUGGAUCAAUGACCUCCAGUGGGAGUGAUCUUCCUGACCCCACAUGUAACCGUGUGCUUCCACACGCCUUUCCCUCACGUCUGUCACUAACCUCACUACUUCACUACUCUCUACUGCUUCCUCUUUUCUUCCUUCUCUGUGGUUCGAACCUUUACACGGAAGGCGCGUCUUCCUGCCCUCAGAGGGUUCAGCGUUAGGGUUGAGAGUCAGGGUUUAGAGUCAGGGACAGAGCUGGUCAGGGAGGACUGCUUUUACGCAAACCUCUUCACUUGCUUUCGGAAUGGUGGUG
ensembl:lncRNA